CUUGUACACACCGCCCGUCACACCAUGGGAAUUGGUUCUACCUUAAGCUAGUGAGCUAACCGCAAGGGGGCAGCUAACCACGGUAGGGUCAGUGACUGGGGUG
rnacentral:rRNA from 1 species